ensembl:snoRNA
AUCCUUUUAUGCUUCAUAAACAUGAUGAUUGGGUGUUCAUGCUAUUGUGUGAGAUGCGCCUCCCUCAAACCUUGUUACGACCUUGGCACAUUACCUGUCUGACG